rnacentral:rRNA from 1 species
GCAUAUCAAUAAGCGGAGGAAAAGAAACCAACAGGGAUUGCCCCAGUAACGGCGAGUGAAGCGGCAACAGCUCAAAUUUGAAAUCUGGUCCCUAGGGCCCGAGUUGUAAUUUGUAGAGGAUGCUUUUGGUGAGGUGCCGCCCGAGUUCCCUGGAACGGGACGCCACAGAGGGUGAGAGCCCCGUCUGGCUGGCCGCCGAGCCUCUGUAAAGCUCCUUCGACGAGUCGAGUAGUUUGGGAAUGCUGCUCAAAAUGGGAGGUAUAUGUCUUCUAAAGCUAAAUAUUGGCCAGAGACCGAUAGCGCACAAGUAGAGUGAUCGAAAGAUGAAAAGCACCUUGAAAAGAGGGUUAAAUAGUACGUGAAAUUGUUGAAAGGGAAGCGCUUGUGACCAGACUUGGGCGCGGCGGAUCAUCCGGGGUUCUCUCCGGUGCACUUCGCCGCGUCUAGGCCAGCAUCAGUUCGUCGCGGGGGAAAAAGGCUUCGGGAACGUGGCUCCUCCGGGAGUGUUAUAGCCCGUUGCAUAAUACCCUGCGGUGGACUGAGGACCGCGCAU